rnacentral:rRNA from 1 species
UACGUAGGGCGCAAGCGUUAUCCGGAAUUAUUGGGCUUAAAGAGCUCGUAGGCGGUUUGUCGCGUCUGCCGUGAAAGUCCGGGGCUCAACUCCGGAUCUGCGGUGGGUACGGGCAGACUAGAGUGAUGUAGGGGAGACUGGAAUUCCUGGUGUAGCGGUGAAAUGCGCAGAUAUCAGGAGGAACACCGAUGGCGAAGGCAGGUCUCUGGGCAUUAACUGACGCUGAGGAGCGAAAGCAUGGGGAGCGAACAGG